UACGAAGGGGCUAGCGUUGCUCGGAAUCACUGGGCGUAAAGGGUGCGUAGGCGGGUCUUUAAGUCAGGGUGAAAUCCUGGAGCUCAACUCCAGAACUGCCUUGAUACUGAAGAUCUUGAGUUCGGGAGAGGUGAGUGGAACUGCGAGUGUAGAGGUGAAAUUCGUAGAUAUUCGCAAGAACACCAGUGGCGAAGGCGGACUCACUGGCCCGAUACUGACG
rnacentral:rRNA from 1 species